CCUAGUAACGGCGAGCGAAGCGGCAACAGCUCAAAUUUGAAAUCUGGCCUCCUUGCGGGGCCCGAGUUGUAAUUUGCAGAGGAUGCUUCUGGCGAGGUGCCUUCCGAGUUCCCUGGAACGGGACGCCGCAGAGGGUGAGAGCCCCGUACGGUCGGACACCGAGCCGUUGUGUAGCUCCUUCAACGAGUCGAGUAGUUUGGGAAUGCUGCUCUAAAUGGGAGGUAUAUCUCUUCUAAAGCUAAAUACCGGCCAGAGACCGAUAGCGCACAAGUAGAGUGAUCGAAAGAUGAAAAGCACUUUGAAAAGAGAGUUAAACAGCACGUGAAAUUGUUGAAAGGGAAGCGCUUGUGACCAGACUUGUGCCCGGUGAAUUAGCUGGCGUUCUCGCCAGUCGACUUUGCCGGCUCAGGCCAGCAUCGGUUUGUCGUCGGGGAGAAAAACGGUGGGAAUGUAGCUCCCUCGGGAGUGUUAUAGCCCUCCGUAUAAUACCCUUCGGCAGACCGAGGACCGCGCAUCUGCAUGGAUGCUGGCGUAAUGGUCACCAGCGACCCGUCUUGAAACACGGACCAAGGAGUCAACCUUAUGUGCGAGUGUUCGGGUGUUAAACCCCUACGCGGAAUGAACGUGAACGUAGGUGAGAGCCUUUUGGCGCAUCAUCGACCGAUUCUGAUGUUCUCGGAUGGAUUUGAGUAAGAGCAUAUAGGGUUGGACCCGAAAGAAGGUGAACUAUGCUUGUAUAGGGUGAAGCCAGAGGAAACUCUGGUGGAGGCUCGCAGCGGUUUCUGACGUGCAAAUCGAUCGUCAAAUAUGAGCAU
rnacentral:rRNA from 1 species